UUAUGUAAUAGGUAAUGUUUACGUUUUCCAGUGUAAUUUAAAAGAAAAUUGUGAAAUUUUGUCUUUAUUCCUCAUUUACGCAAUUGUUACCUAGUAUUAUAGAUAAAUAAUAAUCAAGUGAAAAGUUUAAACUAAUUACAACCGUUUUUCGGAGUAUUGUGGGCUAUACUUUGUAAAGUUCCUGCACAAGUUCAACUUCUACCAAUUUUACAUCAAGAAUACAGUUGAAAAAUGUUAUACUCCCGAUUACACUUCUGCAUAGGAUAGGACUGCAAAUCUACGAUAAGAACAGAAGUAACCGAUGCAAAGAUUCUCAAAAUCUUUCAAAGGACGUGGAAGGAGCCCUACGCAAAGACAAUAAGGGCAGAAGUAACCGUUUCUCCCUUACUGUAGCGUCUAAGACUGUCAUAAUGACAUGAGGGACGUAGAAAGAGCCCUACGCAAGGACAAUAUGGACAGAAAUAACCAUUUCUCCUGUAUUAUAGGGGCGAAGACUCUCAAAAUAUAUCAGGCGACAUGAAAGAAGCCCCAAGUAGCCAAUAAGAACAGAAGUAACCGGGUCUAAGACUGUCAUAAUCACAUGAGGGACGUAGAAAGAGCCUCACGCAAGGACAAUAUGGUCAGAAACACCGGUGAGCAUUUUGCACCCUUCACAUU